GACCCCUCCUCUCGAUCCACCCCCUCCCGCCGCGACCUCUCUCUUUCCCUCUUUCUCCCACUCCACCGCCGCCGCCCCGCCUCCCGCUCCGUCACCGAGAGGCUAUCGAGGAGCCGGCAUCGAUAUCCGAGAGGAGUCGCCCUUCGCCGCCGCCGAGAUCCCGUGCCUCUCUACAGAUCCCUCUCGUUCUCCUCUUCGCCCAUCCACCUGGAUCAAAAGUCGAAACCCACCGCCCCUAUGUCUCUGCUGGUGCUCGACGGAAGACGAGGGCGGCUCCUCCCAGCGAUUCCCCGUGGUCCUUGGCGGAGGCGACUGCUAGGUCAAUCCUCUUUCUCUGGCUCACCCAAUUUGCCUGGGCCGGCGAGCUAGGGUUAGGGUUACCAGCGAGACGCCGCCGCCCCGUCAUGUUGCAGGUGCUGCUAUUACCCGCCGUCGGCCCCGUGUGCUUGUGGCCGGCCCGUACUGAUGAUGUUGUUCUGUGGCUGGCCGCCCUGUGUGUUCGUGCUGCUGCUGCUUACCGUUCACCGUCAUGACUUUUGUUAUGACAGUAGUUUUGUUCAGAAAGCGGUUUAAGUGAAGAUCGUAUGGUUUUUAGAUUAUGUGGAGAAUACAUGAGUACUCUUCUGUAGCGUAUUGUUGUUCAACUGAGACAUAUGCAAUGGGUUUGAUCAUGGCAGCGGGUUAAUUAAAGCCAUGAUAAACACUAUACAUGCAGCGGCAAGGUCAGCCUGUUUCUUCACAUCUUGCAGCACCAAGGUGUCUCUCCACAAAAUUUGUGUAUCCACCGUUGACAUUGGUAUUUAUUCGGGAAAGAAGGAACAACACAGUAGACCAAAGCAAAGGAAGAUCAGCCUGAAUCGAUGAACACAAUAGAUAUGGCUAGAAGUUCCUGAAUGUGUAGGUUAGUAGACUGCCCUGAUGAAAUGGUUCAACAGAUAAACAUAGUAUGGGAGGUUUUUUUUGUGCAUGUAUGGGUAACUAAUCUAGAUUUUGAUGUCCACAAUAAGCGUACAACACAAUUACUGCACGUUAAUUAGUUAUCUGGUAUGGAAUUAAUUACCCAAUUUUUAUAUUGGAGAUAUAUUGUAGUUCCGUACCUGUAAUGCAAUAUUGUAGCUCUGUAGCUGUAAUACAAUAUUUUGUCCAUUUCCUUCUCACUAAUGCUGAAAUUUCUUCCUAUAACUCGAGUUCUUAAUGUGGUCGUUUCUUGAUGGAGUUGGUAGAAUUUUGUUCCCAUGUGAUGUCCAUCUUUGUAAAAUAGGGAAUAUCAAGAUGGCGCUAACCGGUGCGUAGUACCUUAGGUGAUGCACAACACAACAAGAGAGGUGUUUGCGGUGGUGCGCCACACCGACACCAGUGGUUCAGAACAGGGUAUGGUCCGUAGUGUUCCUCUAGGGAUUAAAUUAUGUUGUUCAGGCUCAUAUUUUAUAGUAAACAAUAAGCCAUUUUCAGUUAUGACAUUCUGUUACAGAAAAUUGUGUCUCAUAUAAAUAUAUUCUUGUCGAAAUAGUGGGAGUUUAGUCCUCUUUCAGAAUUUAAUAUUUGCCUAUUGAAACUUUGACAAUGUAUGUAGCAGGGUUUCUCAACGGAAACCAUGUCAAGUUCUGUUUACCUUUAGGGUGGAGUUAAAAUUGUUCGCAGGAUCCUGGGUACACCAUGUGAAUAUCUACGCAGGAAUAGAAAAACUGCAGCUUAAAGAACUGGAAGAAUUCCAAGAAAGAUCAUUGCUUCAAGGUUGGGAGCGGCCACAACAUAAUUGGCAUCAAAAUUAGAUGGGUCAUACAUAUCCUGUCUCGCUUGUUGUUGUGGAACAGUCAUCUGAUAUGUUCAUAUGUGAAUGAUCCACCCAAUCAUCUACAAUGCUUUCCAAGGACAUUAUGGUCCCAACAUUGGAGCCAAAAGAUCAUGUGGCAAUAUCAAAUGGUUGUUUCGGCAUUUCUUGGAUUACAAACUGGUUUCCUUUGUGGCUGGUUUUAGAUAACCAGAGAGACUGGUCUACCGGGAGGAAUGGGUAAAUUCCCAUUUGUUAUUCAUAAUAAUAUGUGAGAUAUUUAUUGCACUAUUGUUUAUUAUGAAAGGCGACAGUGAACCACGAGAGAUGAUAAUCGGAGUUGAAUAUGACAUUGAUGUGUUAUGGGGGGAUGGAGAACACAAUAAUGCCGUGAAAAGCAUAGAUGGAUGAAGAUUUAGGAAGACGACAAUAUUGUUUGUUGAGCACUUACAACAUGGAGGGGAACACAAGCAAAUAGGUAUCACGGUGGUUGCUACCGAGAGAGAAGUGAAAAGAAGAAAAGACACAACAUGAAGCGGAAGACAAUCAGUAUCCUACAAUGGUAUAUGCAU